AAUGCGGGACUCUAAGAGGCCCCGUAAUUGGAAUGAGUACACCUUAAAUCGUUUAACGAGUAUCAAUUGGAGGGCAAGUCUGGUGCCAGCAGCCGCGGUAAUUCCAGCUCCAAUAGCGUAUAUUAAAGUUGCUGCAGUUAAAAAGCUCGUAGUUGGAUCUGGGGCUUGAGGUCGCUGUCUAUCGUUUCGGCGAUGACGGUGAUGCUCAGCUCUGCUUGCCGGUGACUGUUGCGGUGUUCUUCACUGAGCGCUGUAGCAGCACGGCACGUUUACUUUGAAAAAAAUUAGAGUGCUCAAAGCGUGCUUGUCGCUUGAAUAAUGUUGCAUGGAAUAAUGGAAUAGGACCUCGGUUCUAUUUUGUUGGUUUUCGGAGCUUGAGGUAAUGAUUAAGAGGGACGAACGGGGGCAUUCGUAUUGCGGUGUUAGAGGUGAAAUUCUUGGAUCGCCGCAAGACGGACUACUGCGAAAGCAUUUGCCAAGAACGCUUUCAUUAAUUAAGAACGAAAGUCAGAGGUUCGAAGACGAUCAGACACCGUCCUAGUUCUGACCAUAAACGAUGCCGACCAGCGAUCCGUAGUGGUUGCUUUAUGGACCCUACGGGCAGCCUCCGGGAAACCAAAGUAUUUGGGUUCCGGGGGAAGUAUGGUUGCAAAGCUGAAACUUAAAGGAGUUGACGGAAGGGCACACCAGGAGUGGAGCCUGCGGCUUAAUUUGACCCAACACGGGAAAACUCACCCGGUCCGGACACCGUAAGGAUUGACAGACUGAUAGCUCUUUCUCGAUUCGGUGGAUGGUGGUGCAUGGCCGUUCUUAGUUGGUGGAGUGAUUUGUCUGGUUAAUUCCGAUAACGAACGAGACUCUAGCCUGCUAAGUAGUGUUGCUAUUGUUAUAUGAUUGCCACUUCUUAGAGGGACAAGUGGCAUUUAGCCACGCGAAAUUGAGCAAUAACAGGUCUGUGAUGCCCUUAGAUGUCCGGGGCCGCACGCGCGCUACACUGGAGAAGUCAGCGUGUGUUAUCCAAGUCCGAAAGGACUGGGUAAUCCGUUGAACCUUCUUCGUGCUUGGGACUGUGGCUUGGAACUAUUCCACAUGAACGAGGAAUUCCUAGUAAUUGCAAGUCAUAAGCUUGCGUUGAUUACGUCCCUGCCCUUUGUACACACCGCCCGUCGCUACUACCGAUUGAAUGGUUUAGCAAGGUCCUCGGAUCGUGGCCGUAGGGGCACGCAAGUGUUUCUGCGGUUUGCGAGAAGACGACCAAACUUGAUCAUUUAGA
rnacentral:rRNA from 1 species